CUGAAUACUAGACUGAGUGAUAGACACUGACAAUAGUCAAAAAUGUUUAACAAAGAUUACAUAGUAGGGCUACUGCUAAUGGUUAUAGGACUGUCAGGUUUUCAGGGUCAGAGGCUGAUUGAGUCUGGACCAGUAGUUAAAAAGCCUGAAGAACCACACAAACUGACGUGCAUAGCCUCUGGUUUAGACAUGAAUAACUACCGGAUGGCUUGGAUCAGACAGGCUCCUGGGAAAGGACUGGAGUGGGUUGCAGCUAUUACCCAUGACAGCAGAAGCACCUACUACCCCCAGUCUGUUCAGGGUCGGUUCACCAUCUCCAGAGACAAUAGCAUGAAACAGGUGUAUCUCCAGAUGAACAGUCUGAAGACUGAAGACUCUGCUGUUUAUUAUUGUGCCAGAGACACAGUGACACAGGAGGCUAAAGAGCUGUACAUAAACUGAUCAAGCACUUCUCUCACUGGAAGAGUCUAAUGGGAUGUAAGACAGACAAUAAACUGAGGAUCCAGCACAAGUGUAUUCACAGCAUACCAUUCCUCAUCAAGCUCAAUGAAGCUUAAACCACUCUGACCAUGUUAGUCAGUAAAUAUAAUCUUGAUUACAGCUUAUUUACAUUCACCUGUAUAUCAGUCUAAUCCAAUUAAGAGUUUGAGUUACUGGUAGGUAGUAAUGUAGCCAUUGAACAUAAUGAAAUAUCAAAGAGGAAUUUUGAUAGCAGACUUUGACUGAUAUAUGAAAAGAGUAAUAGGCUGUUGUCAGGCAGUGGGUGUAGCUGGUGCAUGGAAGUCAGGCGCAGGAGAGCAGAGAUGAGUGGACAAAGCACUUUGCUGAAGCAUUUAAUAGAACAGAACGCAACUGCAUCACAAAAACAAAUGCCCAAAGAACAAGUGAUGCAGCAUCUUGUACAAUAACCAAGUACAAGCGUGCCAACCUGAACAAUAAACAAUACCCCACAC